rnacentral:rRNA from 1 species
UACGUAGGGUGCAAGCGUUAAUCGGAAUUACCGGGCGUAAAGCGUGCGCAGGCGGUUAUGUAAGACAGAUGUGAAAUGCCCGGGCUUAACCUGGGAACUGCAUUUGUGACUGCAUGGCUAGAGUUUGGCAGAGGGGGGUAGAAUUCCACGUGUAGCAGUGAAAUGCGUAGAUAUGUGGAGGAACACCGAUGGCGAAGGCAGCCCCCUGGGUCAAGACUGACGCUCAUGCACGAAAGCGUGGGGAGCAAACAGG